rnacentral:rRNA from 1 species
AACGCGAAGAACCUUACCCAGACUUGACAUGCACUGGACCGCAUCAGAAAUGAUGCUUCUCUUCGGAGCCGGUGCACAGGUGCUGCAUGGCUGUCGUCAGCUCGUGCCGUGAGGUGUUUGGUUAAGUCCAGCAACGAGCGCAACCCUUAUCAUUAGUUGCCAACAUUUAAGGUGGGAACUCUAAUGAGACUGCCUGGGUUAACCAGGAGGAAGGUGAGGAUGACGUCAAGUCCGCAUGGCCCUUAUGUCUGGGGCUACACACGUGCUACAAUGGUCGGUACAGAAGGCAGCGAAACCGCGAGGUGAAGCAAAUCCCCAAAGCCGGCCUCAGUUCAGAUUGUAGUCUGCAACUCGACUACAUGAAGACGGAAUUGCUAGUAAUGGCGUGUCAGCAACAACGCCGUGAAUACGUUCCCGGGCCUUGUA